rnacentral:rRNA from 1 species
AAACCUCUGCAAUAGGCGAAAGCUGACAGGGUUAUUCUGAGUGACUUUCGCUAAGGAAGUCUUUUGACACCUCUAAAAAUGGUGUAGAAUAAGGGGUGGGCAAGUCUGGUGUCAGCCGCCGCGGUAAUACCAGCACCCCGAGUGGUCGGGACGAUUAUUGGGCCUAAAGCAUCCGUAGCCGGUUUUACAAGUCCUCCGUUAAAUCCAACUGCUUAACAGAUGGGCCGCGGAGGAUACUAUAAGACUAGGAGGCAGGAGAGGCAAGCGGUACUCAGUGGGUAGGGGUAAAAUCCGUUGAUCCAUUGAAGACCACCAGUGGCGAAGGCGGCUUGCCAGAAUGCGCUCGACGGUGAGGGAUGAAAGCUGGGGGAGCAAACCGGAUUAGAUACCCGGGUAGUCCCAGCUGUAAACGAUGCAGACUCGGUGAUGGACUAGCUUCAUGCUAGUCCAGUGCCGCAGGGAAGCCGUUAAGUCUGCCGCCUGGGUAGUACGGUCGCAAGACUGAAACUUAAAGGAAUUGGCGGGGGAGCACCACAAGGGGUGAAGCUGCGGUUCAAUUGGAGUCAACGCCGGGAAUCUUACCGGGGGCGACAGCAGAAUGAAGGUCAAGCUGAAGACUUUACUAGACAAGCUGAGAGGAGGUGCAUGGCCGUCGCCAGCUCGUGCCGUGAGGUGUCCUGUUAAGUCAGGUAACGAGCGAGACCCCUGCUUCUAGUUGCUACUUUUAUUCUUCGGAGUAGAAGGGCUAAUUAGAAGGACUGCCGCCGCUAAGGCGGAGGAAGGAGGGGGCUACGGCAGGUCAGUAUGCCCCGAAACCCUCGGGCCACACGCGGGCUGCAAUGGUAAGUACAAUAGGUUCCGAUUUCGAAAGGAGGAGGCAAUCCGCAAAACUUACCACAGUUAUGAUUGAGGGCCGAAACUCGUCCUCAUGGAUAUGGAAUCCCUAGUAAUCGCGUGUCAUCAUCGCGCGGUGAAUACGUCCCUGCUCC